rnacentral:tRNA from 1 species
GGCCCCAUCGUCUAGUGGACUAGGACAUCACUCUUUCAAGGUGAAAACGCGGGUUCAAUUCCCGCUGGGGCUA